rnacentral:lncRNA from 1 species
CAGCAUCGGCGGCUUCCUCGGCGACCACGGCUCCUCCUUCUCCGUCACGAUCGCCCGCCACAUCUUCUCCCUCACCGGCAACGAAGAAGAGGGAAGCGGAAGAGGGAGAGGAAGAAGAAGAGGUAAUAUUGUCAAUUCAACUUAUUAAUUAACCAUGGUUAAGUAUUUUAACUGUGGUUAACGAAAUUUUCUAACGGAAACUAACGGUAUGGAUAUAUCUGAAUAUAUUAGGACUUUUACAGAGAUAACUUAUGAAAGUUGAGCUUUGCAGGAAUAUAUCUGCAAUUCACUAUAUUUGCAGGGACGUGUAUGCAAUUAACCCUUUUCUUUUUUUUUAGGAAGUUCAUCUA